rnacentral:rRNA from 1 species
UACGAAGGGGGCGAGCGUUGUUCGGAAUUACUGGGCGUAAAGGGCGCGUAGGCGGCGAUCCUAGUCAGAUGUGAAAGUCCUGGGCUUAACCUGGGGACUGCAUUUGAUACUGGAUGGCUUGAAUCCGGGAGAGGGAUGCGGAAUUCCAGGUGUAGCGGUGAAAUGCGUAGAUAUCUGGAGGAACACCGGUGGCGAAGGCGGCAUCCUGGACCGGCAUUGACGCUGAGGAGCGAAAGCCAGGGGAGCAAACGGG